UACAGAGACCUCAAGCGUUAUCCGGAAUCAUUGGGCGUAAAGCGUACCGAUAGGUGGUUAUACAAGUCAGAAGUGAAAUUCCAAAGCUCAACUUUGGGUCUGUCUUUUGAAACUGUAUAACUAGAAGGGCAAAGAGGAAGCUGGAACAAACGGUGUAGUAGUGAAAUGCGUUGAUAUCGUUUGGAACACCAAUAGCGUAGGCAGGCUUCUGGGUGCCACUUGACACUGCUAGGACGAAAGCGUGGGGAGCGAAUGGG
rnacentral:rRNA from 1 species